CGCGUAGGCGGCCCGGUAAGUCCGCUGUAAAAGUCCAGGGCUCAACCCUGGAAAGCCGGUGGAUACUGUCGGGCUCGAGUCCGGAAGAGGCGAGUGGAAUUCCUGGUGUAGCGGUGGAAUGCGCAGAUAUCAGGAGGAACACCAAUGGCGAAGGCAGCUCGCUGGGACGGUACUGACGCUAAGGCGCGAAAGCGUGGGGAGCAAACA
rnacentral:rRNA from 1 species